rnacentral:rRNA from 1 species
GACGAACGCUGGCGGCGUGCUUAACACAUGCAAGUCGAACGGAAAGGCCCUGCUUUUGUUGGGUUCUCGAGUGGCGAACGGGUGAGUAACACGUGAGUAACCUGCCCUUGACUUUGGGAUAACUUCAGGAAACUGGGGCUAAUACCGGAUAGGAGCUCCUGCUGCAUGGUGGGGGUUGGAAAGUUUCGGCGGUUGGGGAUGGACUCGCGGCUUAUCAGCUUGUUGGUGGGGUAGUGGCUUACCAAGGCUUUGACGGGUAGCCGGCCUGAGAGGGUGACCGGGCACAAUGGGACUGAGAUACGGCCCAGACUCGUACGGGAGGCAGCAGUGGGGAAUAUGGCACAGUGGGCGGAAGCCUGAUGCAGCAGCGCCGCGUGCGGGAUGACGGCCUUCGGGUUGUAAACCGCUUUCGCCUGUGACGAAGCGUGAGUGACGGUAAUGGGUAAAGAAGCACCGGCUAACUACGUG